rnacentral:rRNA from 1 species
GACGAACGCUGGCGGCGUGCUUAACACAUGCAAGUCGAACGGAAAGGCCCUGCUUUUGUGGGGUGCUCGAUUGGCGAACGGGUGAGUAACACGUGAGUAACCUGCCCUUGACUUUGGGAUAACUUCAGGAAACUGGGGCGAAUACCGGAUAGAAUCUCCUGCUGCAUGGUGGUGGUUGGAAAGAUUCGGCGGUUGGGUAUGGACUCGCUGGUUAUCAGCUGGUUGGUGAGGUAGUUGCUUACCAGGGCUUUGACGGGUAGCCGGCCUGAGAGGGUGACCGGGGACCUUGGGACUGAGAUACGGCCCAGAAUCCUACGGGACGCAGCAGGGGGGAAUCUUGCACAAUGGCGGGAAGCCUGAUGUAGCAACGCCGCGUGCGUGAAGCCGGCUUUCGGGUUGUAAACAGAUUUCGCAUGUGACGAAGAGUGAGUGACGGUAAUGGGUCAAGAAGCCCCGGCUAACUACGUG